CCCAGACUCCUACGGGAGGCAGCAGUGGGGGAUAUUGCACAAUGGGGGGAACCCUGAUGCAGCGACGCCGCGUGGGUGAAGGAGCGUUUCGGCGCGUAAAGCCCUAUCGGCAGGGAAGAAGGAGGACGGUACCUGACUAAGAAGCCCCGGCUAACUACGUGCCAGCAGCCGCGGUAAUACGUAGGGGGCAAGCGUUAUCCGGAUUUACUGGGUGUAAAGGGGGCGCAGACGGCAGCGCAAGCCAGGAGUGAAAGCCCGGGGCCCAACCCCGGGACUGCUCUUGGGACUGCGCGGCUGGAGUGCAGGAGGGGCAGGCGGAAUUCCUGGUGUAGCGGUGAAAUGCGUAGAUAUCAGGAGGAACACCGGUGGCGAAGGCGGCCUGCUGGACUGCGACUGACGUUGAGGCCCGAAAGCGUGGGGAGCAAACAGGAUUAGAUACCCGAGUAA
rnacentral:rRNA from 1 species